GCCGUCUUCGCUCAGCUUCUGGUCCACCCAGCUGCAAAAGCGGUUCUCUAUAUUCCACGACCCCUCCCCGUGCCUCAGCAGAAACAGUUUGUACUUCGACAUCCCGGGUAUCGUCACUGCAGAGACAAGAACCGUUGGCCUUGAAGUCGAAGGACUCCUUCUGCUUGGAGCCCAGCAGAGCCCCCAGCAUGGCUUCGGCCGAAAUCCUCACCCUCUUCAGGUUGGGCCUCUUCAGUUUACCCUUCAGCUCGAAGAUCUUCUGGGACAGGUUUUCAAUCUGUCCCGGGGCAAAGCUCAUUUUUCAGUUACGGUCGCCGGAUUUAGAAAUAGGCAAAACCGGACAACAUGCACAGAUGCUGGAAGCGUAAUCGCGAACGGGGUUGGGAGCUGUCGGGGCUGGAGGAGGGGGUUCCCCUUGGAUCUGAAGGACAGCGGGGGGGUCCUCUCGGAAACGACAUUGGACGUUGGACAGGCGGACUGGGAAAUCAUUGACACAUUAAUUAAUUUAAACUACCACUAAAUUUCCUCCAUCAAUUACUGAGACCGGACAAACUAGACCUGUACAACUAAUUUGAAGACCAAACAUUCCGAUUGAAAACUGGACAUUUAUCAACCCUAGUUUCAUUGUGGAAAAUAAAGUCUCACCCUCUUUACAGUAA